CUCUGCACGCUGAAGUCGCUGCAGUGACCUCCGUACCUGACUCUUAGGGGAUUUCUCCUGAGAAUUUGGGGGCCGGGGGAGAGGGUUGUAGGCCUAAUCCGUUGUUGUUGUAUUUUGACUGGGGGCUUGAUUUCUUUUGUCGGGAGCUGAGCCAGGAAGGGUUCGCAUGGCUGCGGUGUGCUUGCUAAUAUCGUCACUCUGACUUCUGCAGAGUAUCCGAGAGGGGUCUCCUGGGAUCUCAGUUUUAAGGUUCUCUGGAAGGUACAAUGGUCAGGGACCCCACUCCUCCAGGAGAUUCUGAUCAAAGGUCACGUACUUCGCCAGCCUCUAGUGUCCAGCCAGAAGUCUUAAAUUUAUUCAUCCGUAAGAUUGAGAUAACAUCUGGCUGGGCUGUUGUGAGCAUUGAAAGAGCUAAUGUACUUGUAGUGCCUAGUAGACUGUUCCAGGCAUCUGGUAGGCGCCUUUUCUUUUUCUCCCUGCUCCAGAUCUUUGGAUUCUAGGAAUGUAUCCGGAGUGAUAAACAUUGGGCGAGAUACUGUAUAUUGGGAGUGGGUGUGUGAAUGUGUGGGGAGUUUGAAUGUGGCAAUCUUGACUUCAGUGGCGCAUACACAGGAGGAGAAAAGGAUAAGAUGGAAACUUUGGGGAAAAUCCACAUCUGGAUGAAAAUAAACCAGAAGAGGAGAGAGAGAGAGCGAAGACCAGCAGAAAAGUAUUUAAACCAAGAGACAGUUGUUUGACAGAAUACAAGGAAAUAGAAAAGAUAAGUGAAUGGAGUGAUUGAUUAGUGUUUGGAGCUGUACGGUACGAAAGUGGAUAUCCUGUCUGGUUCCUUUGUUUUAGGUUGCAAGAGAACUAGAACCCUGAGAGGAGAAGCAGUUUUCACCUUCUUACUAGCAAAUCUUGUUUUUCUCUAUAGUGGUUUUUAUUAACUUCCAAAGGAAAACUGAAGAUCCUAACCCCUGUGUCAUGAGUUAUCACGUUAAAAGUCCAUAGAAAAAAUUUUUUUUAACCCAGUUCUUUUUGUGUAUAUAUUUUUUGCCUUGAUAAUACUAGUUUAUUGAGUUUGCCGAGUGACACAUUGCCAAAUCUUAUGCCCUAUUUUUAAUUCCUCAGAUACAUGAUCUUUCUGUAUAGUCUUAGACAGUCUUUACCCCUAGUCUGUUUGGAUGAAGAGCUUGGUAGAGAGGUUGAGUUUGAUAUCUAAGUGUCAGCGGCAUCAAACUCGGAGCCAGGUAUUAUGAUAAAGUGCUUUAACAUAUUCAGUGAAUCCCUACAACAGGCUGAAGAUGUUAUUUUUAUCCCCAUUUUUUAGAAAACUUUAUUCAGUUAUAAUUGAAGACCUCUACGCUGCACAUAUAUAAAGCCGUAAGUUUGGUUUGAUCAGUUUUGACAUAUAUGUAUACCCAUUAAACCACUACUACAAUAAACAUAAUCUUCUGUCAAUCCCAAAAGUUUUCUUGUGCCCUUUGUAAUCCAUCUCUCUUUCCAACCUCAUACCGAAGCAACCACUUUCUGUCAGUAGAGACUAGUUUGCAUUUUCUUGAAUCUUAAAUAAAUGAAAUCAUUAUCCCCACACAGUGUUCUCUUUUUUUUUGCCUCCUUAUUGCAUGUAUCAGCAGGUUGUGUUUUGUUUUAAUUACUGAUUAGUAUUCAGUUGUAUGGAUUUAUCACUAUUUUGUUUAUCUAAUCAUUGAUGGGAACAGCAUUUUUAUUUGUAAUAGCCCCAAAUUAGAAACAACACAAAUUGUUGUUGAAAAUGCUGUGAACAUUUGUGACUAGACUGUCUGGAUUUUUUUUUUUUUUUUUUGAGACAGAGUCCCACUCUCUGGCCCAGGCUGGAGAGCCCUCUUUCAGCAGGAAGUAGCCAGAUAGACUUGACAUCCCUCUUCACUAUGCUAUUUUCUCUUUCUUGAGACCAUGAUAUGCAACAGGCUGACUUGAGCAUGGGGGAAUAUAAAGGGUCCAAGAUUUGACCAAGUUAUUUGUCAGGGGAAAAUGACCAGAGCAAAAUUACCUGGUGACCAUCCAGCAGGCCCUGGAGACAAAAACUUCUUAUCUGAGGAAUUCAGAAGUAAUUAGACUUUCCUGUUAUGUAACACAGGCAUCUGGUUCCAGUUUUUUUUCCCCAAAAUUUAUAAGUAACUAGAAUUUCUAUACAUCUCUUGAAUGCAUGCAUAUCAAAACUCAUUGUGUGACCCUUGCUGACAUUAAGGCACCAGAAUGUCUACAAAUGUAAUCACUUAUCAUGACCUACAUGGCUAAUAUGGUCCAAAUUGCCCGUAAGCUCCCUCUUUGAGGUCCAUAAAUAUCCCUAAGGAAAAAUUCACUGGCACACUCAGUCCUCUCUUUCUGAGGCGCCCCGCUGCACUCUUUUGCAGCAUUCUAUUUAAUAGAAGUUUCCUUUUUAAACCUAUACUGUUGUCUGUAAAUUCUUACCAACCCGUGAGUUGACCACUUUCUAGUGCUAGGGCUCUGACACCUCACCCAGCACUUAUGAAAUAGCCAAACUGUUUGCUGAGAUGGUUGUACAUUUUUCAUUCCCACCAGCAGUGUAUGACAGUUCCAGUUGCUCCAUAACCUCACCAACACUUAGUUUUAGCUAUUCUGGCUGGGAGCAGUGGCUCACACCUGUAAUCCCAGUGCUUUGGGAGGCUGAGGAGGGAGGAUCCCUUGAAGCCAGGAAUUUGAGACCACCCGGACCAAUGUAGUAAUACCCAUCUACAAAAAAAUAAAAAUCUAGCCAGGUGUAGUGGUGCUUGCCUGUAGAUCCAGCUACUCAGGGGCGCAAGAGGGAGGAUCACUAGAGCCCAGGGGUUUGAGACUGCAGUUAGCCAUGAUCCCAACACUGCACUCCGGUCUGGGUGACAGAGAAAUCUUGUCUCUAAAAAGGAAAACAGAACAUUUUUUUUUAGCCAUUGUAAUGGGUAUAAGGUGGUAUCUCAUUGUGACUUUAAUUUACAUUUCUCUUACCACUAAUGAUGUUGAACAUUUUUUCAGGUGCUUAUUGUCAUUUAUAUAUUUUCUGCUGUGAAGUAACUUCAAAUAAUUUGCCAAUUUUGUUAUUUUGUUUGUCUUAUUGUUGAGUGGCAAGGACUGGUUACAUGAUCUGUAUGUAAGUCUUUUGUGUAUAUAUGUGUUUCAAGUAUUUUUACACAGUCUUUGGCUUGCUAUUGAAUUAUCUUAUUUUUCUUUUUUUGGAGACAGAGUCUCUUUCUGUCACCCUGGCUGGAGAGCAGUGGUGUGAUCAUAACUCACUGUAACCUCAAACUCCUG
rnacentral:lncRNA from 1 species